UAGCGUAAUCACUUGUUCUUUAAUUGAGGACUAGUAUGAACGGCCCCACGAGGACUACACUGUCUCCUUUUUCUAAUCAAUGAAACUGAUCUCCUCGUGAAGAAGCGAGGAUAAAUAUAUAAGACGAGAAGACCCUAUGGAGCUUUAAACAACCGGGGUACUUGCUAUUUCUUUAUAUAUCUUCUGAAAACUAAACAAAUUUAAGCAUCUUACUCCAAAGUUUUAGGUUGGGGUGACCACGGAGAAAAAAUUAACCUCCACGUUGUAAGAAGUCUACCGCCUUCUAAGCUCAGAGUUACAUCUCCAGGCAUCAACACAUUGACUCCCAUUGACCCAAUAAUUUGAUCAACGAACCAAGUUACCCUAGGGAUAACAGCGCAAUCUACUUUAAGAGCUCAUAUCGACAAGUAGGUUUACGACCUCGAUGUU
rnacentral:rRNA from 1 species